rnacentral:rRNA from 1 species
GACGAACGCUGGCGGCGUGCUUAACACAUGCAAGUCGAACGGUGAUUCACCUUCGGGUGAUGAUCAGUGGCGAACGGGUGAGUAACACGUGGGCAACCUGCCCCUGACUCUGGGAUAACUCCUCGAAAGAGGUGCUAAUACCGGAUACUCACGAUUGUAGGCAUCUUCAAUCGUGGAAAGUUCUUCGGUCAGGGAUGGGCCCGCGGCCUAUCAGCUAGUUGGUGGGGUAACGGCCUACCAAGGCGACGACGGGUAGCCGGCCUGAGAGGGCGACCGGCCACACUGGGACUGAGACACGGCCCAGACUCCUACGGGAGGCAGCAGUGGGGAAUAUUGCGCAAUGGGCGAAAGCCUGACGCAGCAACGCCGCGUGAGGGAUGACGGCCUUCGGGUUGUAAACCUCUUUCAGCAGGGACGAAGCGAAAGUGACUGUACCUGCAGAAGAAGCGCCGGCUAACUACGUGCCAGCCGCCGCGGUAACAC